rnacentral:rRNA from 1 species
AACGAGAAAGCCCGGCUUCGGUUGGGUGAGUAAAGUGGCGAACGGGUGAGUAACACGUGGGCAAUUUGCCCUUUAGUCCGGGAUAAUCCUUCGAAAGGGGGUCUAAUACCGGAUAACACCAUCUAUAGGCAUCUUGUGAUGGUCAAAGGCGGGGAAACCUGCCGCUGGAGGAUGAGCCCGCGUCCCAUUAGCUUGUUGGUGGGGUAACGGCCUACCAAGGCGAUGAUGGGUAGCCGGCCUGAGAGGGCGACCGGCCACACUGGGACUGAGAUACGGCCCAGACUCCUACGGGAGGCAGCAGUAGGGAAUAUUGCGCAAUGGACGAAAGUCUGACGCAGCAACGCCGCGUGGGUGAUGAAGCUUCUUGGAGUGUAAAACCCUGUCAGUGGGGAAGAAACGUACGGGUAGUAACUGACUCGUACCUGACGGUACCCACAGAGGAAGUCCCGGCUAACUCCGUGCCAGCAGCCGCGGUAAUACGGGGGGGACAAGCGUUGUUCGGAUUCACUGGGCGUAAAGGGCGCGUAGGCGGGCUUUCAAGUCGGGUGUGAAAACUGGCGGCUCAACUGCCAGCCGGCACUCGAUACUGUUGGUCUUGAGUACGGGAGAGGAGAGCGGAAUUCCAGGUGUAGCGGUGAAAUGCGUAGAUAUCUGGAAGAACACCAGUAGCGAAGGCGGCUCUCUGGCCCGAUACUGACGCUGAAGCGCGAAGGCAUGGGGAGCAAACAGGAUUAGAUACCCUGGUAGUCCAUGCGGUAAACGAUGGGUACUAGGUGUCGGGGGUGUCGACCCCCUCGGUGCCGCAGCAAACGCAUUAAGUACCCCGCCUGGGGAGUACGGCCGCAAGGCUGAAACUCAAAGGAAUUGACGGGGGCCCGCACAAGCGGUGGAGUAUGUGGUUUAAUUCGAUGCAACGCG